GCUCCUCCGCCUUGGGAUCUACAUCCGCUACUGCCACAGCAGUUGAUUCAGGUUCUGAUUUCGACGCUUCUUCAGGUUCAGGAGCAAGAUUUUGUUCUGGUGUAGAUGCUGGUUCAUUAUCAGGUACAGGAUUUGGUUCUGGUGUUGAUGAUGCUGGUUCAUCAUCAGGUACAGGAUUGGGUUCUGGCUCUGGUACCCGUUGAGGUCCGGCUCCAUUUUGCAAUUCAGAUUCUUCGGAGGUGGAAGUGGACAUUGCAGGGAGGCUUAGGGGUUUUGCGAAGAAAUUGCUGUC
rnacentral:lncRNA from 1 species